GUUGUCUCCCAUCAGUGAUUUUUCCCAGGUCGGAGAUGGCCCUGGAAACGGUGCCCAAAGAUCUGCGGCAUCUGCGCGCUUGUUUGCUAUGUUCGCUGGUCAAGACGAUAGACCAGUUUGAAUACGACGGCUGUGACAAUUGUGACGCCUACCUGCAGAUGAAGGGUAACCGAGAGAUGGUGUAUGACUGCACCAGCUCUUCCUUUGAUGGAAUCAUUGCAAUGAUGAGUCCAGAGGACAGCUGGGUCUCCAAGUGGCAGCGAGUUAGUAAGUAUUUCUCUCCUUAUUCUCCCUAGACAUGUCACUCAAUCUGGGGAAUAGGGGUCUUUAAAUCAGUGGGGUGAGCAGGAUGAGGGUGAGAAGAUUGAUUGUAAAAUCUCCUGUGUUCAGUCAUUUAAUACUUACCACCCAAUGAAGUGCUCUCAUGGAAAUGCAGCAUAUUUCAUUUUCAACAUAAAGCCUCCAUUUGACCUUUAAGGUAUUAUUUUUUCUUUUUGUUUUGUUUGUGUUUUAGAACCACUGUCAGUGGUGCUCAGGGAUUACAGUGGGGUCACAGUUGCCUUACUUCUUACUCCAUGUACUGUCUCUUCAGCACUUGAUGUCUAGUCUUGAUGCUCUCAACUGUAAUCUCUUCUGUUCUCUCAGGUAACUUUAAGCCAGGUGUCUAUGCAGUAUCCGUCACUGGCCGCCUGCCUCAAGGAAUUGUUCGCGAGCUGAAGAGUCGAGGAGUGGCCUACAAAUCCAGAGACACAGCUAUAAAGACCUAGCCAGAGUAGUAGUUGCCAUCCUUCUUGCCCAACCAUUUGCCUCUUAUUUUUUCAUUGUGGAACUAAAUGGGCAGAACAUCAAAAUGUCCACACUCUCCAAUUCUGAAACUUCACAGACUGUCUGGAGAGCAGUGUGGCAUGCCCUUAGGGCUGGUGUACGUGCCCCUGGAUCAUUUUCCACCUCUGAACUGCUGGUGGUGUGGGUGGGGUUUGGGUUGGGAAUUAACAGAGAUUGAACUGAAUUGGGGAUAGGAUGCUGGUUUCCUACCAAUGCCCAGAGCUCUGCCUUUGGGUUAAAUGUCAAUAAAUGCAAAAGUUUUAAAUCUGGAAAGUUCUUAAAUUUGUGACAGUGGUAUUGUCUCCCUCCCUUUUGCUCUUGGAUGCAUCAGCACUAAUCCUGUGAGCACCUCCCUUGAACAGCAGAGGGUUUUCUGCUCUGCAUUAUCUAGCUCUGAGCCCUAUGGUUCCAGCCUGUCUACUGCACUCACCUUGGGGUGUUUAUUGGGGGGAAGGCCACCAAAAUAGAGUCUUAGCAAACCCCUUGGCCUGUUAGAAGUGAUGUAUGAUACCUGCACCUUUCCUUUCUGCCUCCAGACCUGACACAGCAGCUGCCCAUUACAGACAUUCUGGGGCUUAGUAACAUUUUCCCUAUUUUUCUGUUUUUACUAUUUUUCUUUGGGCCAUCCUGUGGUACAUGUGACCUCUUGUUCCCUCCCUCAUCUGCAUUUCCCUAACUGGAGACCCUCUGCUAACUGUGGGGCCUACUUCUGGCUCUCCUACUUCCAUAGGAUCUGGCCUUGACCCUUUCCCUCCAAUCUAGAAUGGGGUCUGGAAUGAUACCACAUUAUUGGUCAAAUAAAAUUACUUGUUUUAGAAUUUAAAA